UACGUAGGGUGCAAGCGUUAUCCGGAAUUAUUGGGCGUAAAGAGCUCGUAGGCGGUUUGUCGCGUCUGCUGUGAAAACCCGAGGCUCAACCUCGGGCCUGCAGUGGGUACGGGCAGACUAGAGUGCGGUAGGGGAGAUUGGAAUUCCUGGUGUAGCGGUGGAAUGCGCAGAUAUCGGGAGGAACACCUAUGGCGAAGGCAGCUCGCUGGGACGUUACUGACGCUGAGGAGCGAAGACGUGGGGAGCGAACAGG
rnacentral:rRNA from 1 species